AUUGAACGCUGGCGGCAUGCCUUACACAUGCAAGUCGAACGGCAGCACGGGCUUCGGUCUGGUGGCGAGUGGCGAACGGGUGAGUAAUGUAUCGGAACGUACCUUUCAGUGGGGGAUAACGUAGCGAAAGUUACGCUAAUACCGCAUAUUCUGUGAGCAGGAAAGCAGGGGAUCGCAAGACCUUGCGCUGAUUGAGCGGCCGAUAUCAGAUUAGCUAGUUGGGGAGGUAAAGGCUCACAAAGGCGACGAUCUGUAGCGGGUUUGAGAGGAUGAUCCGCCACACUGGAACUGAGGCACGGUCCAGACUCCUACGGGAGGCAGCAGUGGGGAAUUUUGGACAAUGGGGGCAACCCUGAUCCAGCCAUGCCGCGUGAGUGAAGAAGGCCUUCGGGUUGUAAAGCUCUUUCGGCCGGGAAGAAAUCGCAUAGGUUAAUACCCUGUGUGGAUGACGGUACCGGAAUAAUAAGCACCGGCUAACUACGUGCCAGCCGCCGCCGUAAAAC
rnacentral:rRNA from 1 species